rnacentral:rRNA from 1 species
UACGGAGGGGGCUAGCGUUGUUCGGAAUUACUGGGCGUAAAGCGCACGUAGGCGGCUUUGUAAGUUAGAGGUGAAAGCCCAGGGCUUAACCCUGGAAUUGCCUUUAAGACUGCAUCGCUAGAAUCGUGGAGAGGUGAGUGGAAUUCCGAGUGUAGAGGUGAAAUUCGUAGAUAUUCGGAAGAACACCAGUGGCGAAGGCGACUCACUGGACACGUAUUGACACUGAGGUGCGAAAGCGUGGGGAGCAAACAGG